UACGAAGGGGGCUAGCGUUGCUCGGAAUCACUGGGCGUAAAGCGCACGUAGGCGGCUUACUAAGUCAGGGGUGAAAUCCUGGAGCUCAACUCCAGAACUGCCUUUGAUACUGGUGAGCUUGAGUCCGGAAGAGGUGAGUGGAACUGCGAGUGUAGAGGUGAAAUUCGUAGAUAUUCGCAAGAACACCAGUGGCGAAGGCGGCUCACUGGUCCGGUACUGACGCUGAGGUGCGAAAGCGUGGGGAGCAAGCAGG
rnacentral:rRNA from 1 species